CUCGAUAAUCCACGAAUGUCUUACCUUUCCUAGACCCUCAGCUUGUGUACUGCCGUCGUAAGCAAACCUCUAAAAGUAGAAGUAUGCAAUUAUGUCCAACUCAUUUACGUCAGGUCAAAGUGCAGCUAAUGGGAAGGCGAUGAUGGGUUACAACCUAAACAAUAGAUACAGACUACAGUACUAACAGCUGCAUGAAGGUGGACUUGGACGUAAUAAUAACAGUAUUAUAAUGAAGAUGAAUCUAAGACAUGCACACAUCGCCCGUCACUCUUGCCCAAAGGCAAGAUAAGUCGUAACAAAGUAGGUGUAACGGAAGUUGCACCUGU
rnacentral:rRNA from 1 species